GCAGAGGCUUCUCCAAUACUCUGAAAAUCUUGGGUGGAAAAAUAACACAAGUCGAGUCUGAUGAUAUUUGCCUCUUUGUUUUAUCAAUUUUCAUUUCAUCCGCAUCAAGAGAAGCUAUUUUGGAAAGAUGAUUCAUUGUGAAAUACAGACAUGAAGGAUCAUUAGCUGAGAUGUGAAAUUGGUCCAAUCUAUCAUCCUCAAUCACCCUCCACACGCGCACAACGCCAUCUUCACCACCACUUGCCAAGUAUUGCCCAUCAUGACUGAAUUUCAUUGUCAAAAUUGAUCCAUUAUGUGCUAAAAAUUCCUGUCUGGCAUAGAGAGAAGACAAUUCCUUGGACCGCUUCUUGGAUGGAUGAACUUUAAUCCUUUGCAUCUUUGAUCCUACAGUCGAUUCAUAUUCAUUGGGCUUCAAAGGCGCUAACCCA
rnacentral:misc_RNA from 1 species